GAUGAACGCUGGCGGCGUGCCUAAUACAUGCGAGUCGAGCGAACAGACGAGGAGCUUGCUCCUCUGACGUUAGCGGCGGACGGGUGAGAAACACGUGGAUAACCUACCUAUAAGACUGGGAUAACUUCGGGAAACCGGAGCUAAUACCGGAUAAUAUAUUGAACCGCAUGGUUCAAUAGUGAAAGACGGUUUUGCUGUCACUUAUAGAUGGAACCGGGCCGCAUUAGCUAGUUGGUAAGGUAACGGCUUACCAAGGCAACGAUUCGUAGCCGACCUGAGGGGGUGAUCGGCCACACUGGAACUGAGACACGGUCCAGACUCCUACGGGAGGCAGCAGUAGGGAAUCUUCCGCAAUGGGCGAAAGCCUGACGGAGCAACGCCGCGUGAGUGAUGAAGGUCUUCGGAUCGUAAAACUCUGUUAUUAGGGAAGAACAAAUGUGUAAGUAACUAUGCACGUCUUGACGGUACCUAAUCAGAAAGCCACGGCUAACUACGUG
rnacentral:rRNA from 1 species